rnacentral:lncRNA from 1 species
CCAUAGCCAACUUUCUCAUUCUAGAAAUAAUAAGACCGUAAAAGUCCUGAACAUGUUGGGGGUAAUUUUGUUUUGGGUUUUAUAUAGUUAUUUUGAUAUUUGGUUUGUUUUUAGUUUUUGCUUUUGCUUGGAUAAAAAUUUUGAGAGAAAAACAAAAGUAGAAAGUUAGCAAGGAAUUUUAUAACGGUCCAAGGUGAAUGCUCCUAACUCUUUUCAUUUUUUUGUCCUCACUAAUCCUCGACCCAAUAACAGUUUUAGUGAUCAUUUUCUGUCGUUUAAUUAGAAUUACAUACAUUUUCGAUUCCUUUAGACAAAAAAGGCCUAAACAUUAAAAAAUUUCAUAUGGAAAAAAGUUCACUACGAUCUCGUUUAACGAGAAAGAUGGGAAAAAAAAGUUAUAUGCGUGAUCAUGGUGGCUCAAAUUUUGCAAAUAUGAUUGAUUAAACUCGUCGAUCAUGGGGGAAAAUCUAUUUUUUAUUUUUUAAAAAAAUCAUCUUCAGUAAAGUUCUUAAAACCAUUUGAAUUUUAUUUAUUUUUUUGGUUUUCUAGCCGAAGAAUUUAAAAAUAUAACAUCAUCGUCUGAUUUGAAAAAUAUUUACUAAAUUAAUAUGUAAAAUAUUUUUUAUUCAAUAUAAUUAACAUGUUUUUUUUUUUGUCUUUAUGACUUGUUUUUAAAAAUUAAACAAAAAAAUUAUAUUUUUCAUAUAAUAAAUACAUUGUUCAUAAUGGUUUGAUUUUAACCAAGAAAUUAUUUAAUUACCAUAGUACAACUAUAUUUAACAUCGACUAUAUAUAUGUCACAAAUAUUAAAUUACCCAUAAUAUCAAGUUAAAGGUGUAAUUAGACAACUUGAAAAUAUUAAACUUAAGUAAUAAUUUGUUAAGCUGAAAAAUAAAAAAAUAAAAAAAUAAUAGAUUUAUCGUAUAUUAUACUUUCACACCCUAAUCUCUAAAUUUCUUAAAAAUCGGAACUGUAACAAGAAUUACAAGUUAAUAAAAUCUAAAUUAAAUUCAAAAUUGGAAGUACUUUCUGAUAUUACUACUAUUGGAUUUAAAUUUUUUCUGUUAAAAAUUAUUGUUUUUUUUUUUUUACGUUUUCGAGUUCUCUAAUUAAGAUGAGCUCAGGAAUUAAAUUUUAACUUUAAAUUAAAGGCCUCAUUCUUGUGGGCGAGAAAUAAGAUUAGAAUUAAACCAAGCACAACAACGGUCAAAUCGACUCAUCAAUUAUAAAACUAUUGUUUAGUUCAAUCUAUUUUAAAAUUUUAAUUAUUUACCAAUAAUAUAACACAAUCAAUUUGGAGAAUUUUUAUAUUUUUUAUUUUUUAUUUUUAAGUGCUUUGGUUUCAUAAAAAGAAACAAAAUUGUGACAGUUACAAUUUAUUUAAAAAAAUAUGCUGAUUGAUUUUAUCUACUAAGGCAUUAUGUUUUUAUUUGUGAUAAUCACUAGUAUAAGAGAAAUAGAAUAAUUAAUAGAGAGAUAGCAGAAGAUGUUUAACGUGGUCGGCUCCAUUUAUGUCAUGCAUUCAAGAUUAAUAUAUAGUUAUGAAUAUAACCAUAUACAUGGACUGUAGAAUAGAUGUAAGCUAGACAUAUUUAAGUCUUUCAAUCUCAAUUGAUUAGAUAAUUCUAAUCAUAUCUCUAAACAUCACAAAUAUCAAAUAUAUAAAUUUUUCUACUAUUAAUAGUGAAACUUUUGUUUUAGCGUAUCAAAUAGUUUAAGUUUUGUGUUAUAUGUUUUUGAACAACGAAAAUCUCUAUUUAUAAAAUUCAAAAGUAUAAUUUUCAUUUUCGUUCGUUAUUACUAAAAAAGUCCAUUGCAAUCGCCCGCUAUUGGCUGCCAUCGGAUCAGUAUGGGAUGGAGAAGGGUGCAUGAGAAGGAGGAAGGUGUUUAAAAGAUUAGUAAUUGUAUUUUUUAAAAAUCCGAUUUAAUCAAAUACGCCCGAAAUUUUUUGACAUUAAAUUUAUGUAUGCAGGCCUGGAACCCGAGUUAUUAAAACUCAAAUUUUUUGGAAGUCUCAAUAAUUUUGCAGCUUUUGUUGACAUCUGUAUAUGUUGGUUAAAAUUUAGAUAAAAAAUAAUGAAUCUAACGUUUAAAACCAUAUCUAAGAUUAAAGCAUUACUCUAAGACAACUGAUAAUUUCUGAAGACCAACGCCAACGUUCCCACUAGAAGGGCUGUUUGUUAUGUUCAGUCAUUUUUUUUUAAUUACAGAUAAAUUAAGCUAAUAGGUCCAUAAAGUUUUAUCUAUGUUACUUUGAUCCCUCUAUACUAAUUUUCUAUAUAUUUCUUAAAAUGUUUUGAGUUUGAGUUUUUUAAGUGGUUCUUUACUAAUUACUAAUUACAAACAGUAAUUUAACUUUCUAAUUUAAUUUAUUAUAAAAAAAUGUCUUUAGUUUUUUCGGGCCUUUUCUAUCAUUAUUGAAAUCAAACUCGAAUAAUUACCUAUGUGUUCUUCCAUAAUGUAUGGAUCCUUGAUCGAUAGCAAAGACUAGAAAAUUCUUAAAGACCCUUUUUAUAAUAAAUAGUUUGAAGAAAUUAUUUUGGGUACUAGUAAAGAAUCAAUAAUUCAUUGAAAACAUUGAUCAUGCAAUUGAGAAAAUUAAUUAAAGAGACCCAAGUAAUACAAGAUGACUACUAUAAGAAUUAUUUACCUCAUUUACCUUUGUUUUUUUUUUUUCCAUUUGUCUGUACAGUACUUCUAUGUGAAAGUGAAAAUGGCGAAAUAACAAAAAGCUAAAAUGCGAACCAAAAAAAGUACUUUUGAGAAGAGGCAGGCAAGGCAAGGCUGCCACAGUUGGUCAUACACAAAAAUAAAAAGCCUUAUCAUCAUGAAGUAACUAGCUCCGUUUGGUAAUGUUUAAAAAGUAAAACUUUUUACAAUUUAUUAUUAAAAAAAUUAAGUUUUUUUUUUGUUUUAAAAUUGUUUUUUCUGUCUUUUUACACUUUUAGUUAAACAAUAAAAAGAAAAAAUUCAAUUCUGAACUGCUUUUUUUACUUAUAAGCUUAAAAAAUCAACCGAAAGCUGGUACCGGAAUGGAGCCAUUAAUGCAUGGGAAAACAUUCUUUAGACGAAAAAUAAACAUGAAAGUGGUUCUUUGGUCAAGUAAUUUCCUUAUAUUUUUUUUUUCAAUGUUGCUUUUGGGACAAAUUAGCUAAAAUCUACUAUUUUGUGAAGAACAAUACAUAGCCAUUUACUCUAUUAAUUACCAUUAUAUAAUAUAUAAUGUUUAAUCAAUAUUUUAAAAUAAUGUAAUAACAAUAAGAGAACGGCUACAAUACUUACACCAACAUGAUGCAUAUAAUACGCUUCGGAAUAAUAUUAUCCCAAUAAGAUAAAUAUUCACCACAACAAAUUAUAAUAAAAUAAAUUAUAAAUUAUUUUUUAUCACAAGAGAUCGUAAUGUUUCAUGCAAAUGUAACAUUUUUUAUUAUAGUGUGUGCUAAAUUUUUCCUUACGCCAUACAUGAUACUCGUACCAUGGGAUACAACUAACAGCAGUCAAAAGACGGCAAUGAUUGAACGAUUCAAGUCCUUGUAUUUUUUUUAAUAAUUUCCAUAGACGCCCACGUAGGAUGGAAAACUAAACCGUCCGGGGUGGCUAGAAGUGUUUCUGUCUCGGAACUAAUAAAUAGAUGGUUGACCUGCCAAAAGGAGAAGAAAUAGUAGAAAGACUGUCCGGCUAUUUCGGGGAUGACUCGCCAAUAAUCAAGUUAGUGACUGAAAAAUAGGAGAGAGAGAAAGCAAGAGAGGAGUUCUUAACUCUUGUUUUAGAGAGAGAAAAUGAGUAGAGAUAGACAGAAUUACGUAUUCAUGAGAGAUAAAAGAUUUGUCCUUUUAUAGUACAACUCGGCACAUGCGUGGAAGCCCGUUGAAGUUUAUCGUCCGAGCUCCAGUGUGAAGGUGAUGACCAACAACUUGUUAUGAAGGACAACUCCGACGGGUGCUCUCCUAUAGCUUACUCGCGAUAAAAUAUAUAUUUUUUUUCUUUCCUCCACCAUUAUAUAAAAAAAAAAUAUGCAAAAAACGAUAGGUAGGACGAUAUUUUCAUAUAUAUGGGCUCACAUCUACCUAAUGUUAAAAUUCAACGCCACGCUACUUUUAUUUUUGUGUAUUUUUUACAAUAAUUUUUUUUUGAAUACUAUAUUUUUCAAAGAUUAGAGAAAUGGUAAAUCCUAGAGAUGAGAAAAGUGCAGACAAGGACGCCACAUUGUUUGUCGUGUCCUUGUGUUCUGCGCAAAUGGACCACGUCGUCUCUCUCUCUCUUUCCUCUCUCAUUUCAUGUUAGACAUAAUGAAUUGAAGAGAUUUCCCCCUCUCUCUCCCCCUUCUCUCCUCUCUCCUUUUUUUUUUCUUCUUUUUCUUUUUGGGUGAAAUGGAAAUUUGGCAUAAAGUCUCUCUCACAUUGUCAUUAAGAAAUGAAAAUGAAGGAGAUUUCACAACUCUCUCUCUCAUCCCUUCUUUGUUUUUUUGGUGAAUGGAAAUUGCAUAAACUGUCUCCUUCUUCUCUCUUCAUUGGUCAUUUAGAAAUUGAAAAUGAAAGGAGCUUUUCUAAGUCGCCGUUGGUAAGAAGACCAACACCUUCGAUACGCGGUGGCCAAUUACGAACGCUCUUUCCAUAACUCAUAAUCAAAAGUUAUUGCGUGAUCAGGUGGCUCAAAAUUUGCAAAUAUGAUUGAUUAAACUCGUCGAUCAUGAUCUAGUUUUUAUUUUUUUUAAAAAAUAUUCAGUGUAUCAAGGUACGUAUUUAUUCCAGUUCUUCCCUCUCACCAUCAUUCUCUUCGUCCACCUCUCCAGAAAAUUUCUUUUAACCAUUUAAAUUUUAUAAUUUUUUAGUUUUCCUUGACAAGAAGAAUUUAAAAAUAUAAAACUUUCUUCUGAUUUGAAAAAUAUUUACUAAAGUAUGUAAAAGUUAUUUUUAUUCAAUUAUUAACUAUUUUUUUUUUUUCUUUACUACGUACUUUUACUGAGUUUUUUUAAAAGUUAAAAAACAAAAAAAUUAAUAUAUUUUCAUAGUAAAUAUAAUAUAGUUUCCUAAUGGUUUGAUUUUCCCGAAGAAAUUAUUUAUAUUACCAUAAGAAAACGAAGUUUAACAAACAUCGACUAAUAUAAUGUCCAAAUAUAAUUACCCAUAAUAUCAAGUUAAAGGUGUAAAUUUAGACACUUGAACAUUAAACUUAAGUAAUCAAUUUGUUAUCUGCAAAAAUAUUAUAUAUUAUAUAUAAUUUAUUGUAUAUUAUACCUUUCACACAACCCUAAUCUCGAGACUUUCUUUAAUAAAAUCGAUUGUCCAAGAUUAACAAGUUAUAAAAUCUAAAUUAAUUCAAAGUGGGAGUAUUUCUGAAUCUUACUUUUGGAUUUUAGAAUUUUUUCUGUAAAAUAUUCUUAUUUUAUUACCUUUUCGAUUCUCUAAUUAGAUGACUGAGGAAAUUAAAUUUUAACUUAAUUUAAAAUUUAAUUAAAAUGCCUCGUUCUUGUGGGCGAGAAAUAAGAUGAGAAAUACGACCAACAUGGUCAAAAUUGACUCAUCAAAUUAUACAAAACGAUUGUUUAUUCAAUAUAUUUUUAUAAUUUGAUUAUUUAACUAAUAAUAUAAAAAAUCAAAUUUGAGAAUUUUAUAUUUAUUAUUUUUUAUUUUUAAUUUAUUUUGGCUCACAAAAGACCAAAAAUUGUGACGUUACAUUUUAUUAAACAAAUAAUGCUGAAUGAUUUUAUCUACUAAUGCAUUAUGUUAUUUGGGAUAUCACUAGUAUAGAGAAAUAGAAGACAUUAAUAGAGUGAUGCAGAAGAGGUUUUACGUAGUUCGUGAUUCUCUCCCAGAAGUGAAUUAUUUUCCGCAAGUGUACGAGUAGGCGAAAUAGUAAUAAACCUCGAAGUUACGAGUUCGAUCCCCACAAGGAGUAGUGCCAAGGUGAAAAACAAAUAAUAAAUAAUAGCCUCAAUCCUAACUUGGAUCCUAACUUAUGCUUAAAAAAAAAAAAAUCGUAUUUCUUGAUUUUGUAGAUUAAACUAUCUUAAAUUAGAAAAAUAAUUAAACUAGUUUAAACUGAUAAUAAAAGUGACUUGCAAUCAUUGAAUCAAUAUUAGGUUUCUCGAUUCCAAUGGAGGCUCUUAUAACUUUAAAAUCUUUCGACUUACAUACAUCGUGGGUCUCGGAUUCGAGGUUUGCUUUUUAAAAUAUUAUUCUUUCAAUCUAAAUUCGUGCACAAAUAUAAUGACCCAACUCACGCAUAAACCGUUACAAGGCAGCGUAUAUACUGAGCCCCAUCAAUUUCUAUAUAAACGUUCCUUUAGAAUAAAUUUGAUUGUUAUAAUCUAGAGGUCGUGCUCAUCGAUUCACGUAACACAUCUGAUACAUCCAUCUCACACAUAAACGUACAAGGCAGCGUAAUAUACUGAAUUAGCUACUCAGCAUCGGCACUUACCGAACAUAAUAGGACGUCCUAAUUUUCAAAAGUAUCUAAACGAAAGAGAAGAAGAAGAAAAAUCUAGAACAUAUAGCGGUGAUAUUAAAAUAACCUCCAUGUGGUCAACCUUAAUAAUCCCCAAUCAAACCUCACAUUGAUCCCGAGUUAGGAAAAUUAGCCAAUCAUGGCUAACAAAAAUAAAUAAUGGUUAUUAAAAGCUUACGGAAAAAUUUGUAUUAAAAUAAUAAAAUUUAAAAUAUUACAAAAUUGUAAAAUCUAAGAGUAAUAUGAAAUUCAUUAAGAGGCUUAAGAAAUCCUAAACUAAGUAUAUCUCGUUCAUAAGAUAUAGAAAGUAUUUAUAGACUUUACAUUAGAAUUCUAGUAGAUUAAGAACUGCAUAAUUUCUUUUUCUAUCCAAAACGUUUCCAUCUCAAUUUUGACCACUUUUGAGAACGAAUCAGCCCAACUCCUAUUAGAGACAAAAUUGUACCCUCGUUUACCUCUAAAUCUUUCUUUCCAACGCGUCAAAGAAUUAACUCAUCGGACUCUGAGUAAAACGUUAGGCAAAAAUACCAGACUGGGUUUUAGAAAAAAAAAUCUGUCCAAAUUUUUGCCUUAGAGUUCGACACGCUAAAAGAAGGAGUUCGAAUCCUAAGCAAAAAUCUAUUUUCAGCUUUUCCAUGUUUCCCAACUGUAAGAUAGAGGAUUGAACCCUACCCUCCAUUUUCUCUUUGGAGUUCGACCCAAAAUGGGCUUGGGUUCGAACUCUCAGGCAAAAUUUUACCCGUAUCUUGCAACGCGAUUUGAUAGUUUUAGAGAUCGAAUUAGCCAGUUCUCAUUAGAGACAAAGUUGUAGAUCUUGGAGUCUUCUUUCCAUAGCUUCAAAAAUAAGGGGUCUUUGGCAAAAUUUGCUCUAAGCUGGGUGGGUCUCUCCAUAUGGAUAAGUUGACCACUUGUAAGGAGAGAGUCACCUAUGCUAGGUGUCUGAUGGAGGUCGACUUGGAUAAAGAGCUUGUUCACUCUGUUAUGCUGCACUUUAAAAAAGGGGAGAACAUGAGCAAAGGGUCUUCUACGAAAAUUUGCCCAGGUUCUAUUCUCAUUGUAGGAAAGUGGGGCACAACAAGGAGAACUGCAAGUCCAACCUCAGUAAAAUAGUAGUGAUCCCAAUAGAGGGAGGUAAAAAUGCAGACACACAAGCUAUGCCUAAUGUUGUGGGAGAAAGCAAGAAGAGUCAUCUGGAAUGGGUGGUCAAGCAAAAUGCUAAAGGCUCCUCUAUAGCUGAGGAAGUAGUCAAUCCAGAGCAUACUACAAUAAGCAAUCCAAAGAAUCUAUGCACUAAGCGUAGCUUGGCUAUCCCAUCAGAGUCUACUACAGUAAGCAAUCCAGAAAUUACAGAGUUAAAGCACAGCGGGGUGCUCCUUUCUGAGCCUAUUCUAGUGCAAUCCCCUAUUAUCCCAAAUGAAUCUUCUGCUUUGCCCUCUCUUGUUGCUCAAUUGGGAGGUGAAAUUUAUAUAGAUCUGGCCAACAGAAUAGCUAAUGAGGAGCUUAAAAAUAAAUAGCAACAAGAAAGCAAAUCCCAAGAAGAUAAUCCAGUUGUUACCUCGAAGAAAGAAACUGUCCAGCCUGUCAGCCAAAACCCCCAAUCAUUAAGGUUCCAGCCAAGGUCUCAUCGUCUUAUGCCAAUACCUUAGCUAAAGGGGGGGAAAGGGGGGAAAAAAGAAAGAAAAAACUGCUCAUGAAAGACUGAUCACCUACUUCCUUGCAGAAUUUGUGCGGGAAUUUGGGGAUAGCACCCCACUCCAACAAAAAAAAAUAUGAUUAUCUCGUGUUUGGAAAUCAGAGUUUUAACUUACUCUGAAGCAGAAUUGGGAAUUUGAAGUAUUUGAAGAGAAAUAAAGAGCAGUUAUGGGAAUCUGGAGACAAAGUCAAUCAUUAGUCUUGAACUGGCUGGCUAGGAACAAAUUUCGGGCUGGGAGAAUGGUAGAAAGCAAUUUCAGCCAUCACCCAAAUGGAGGGAUCUUCUCGUUUGGAAAGAGGAUUUAUAGUUGCAAACUGGAUAUUAUCAAACAACUUCAUAGGCAAUCCACUGCCUAGCCACAGUAAGUCCUCCGCUGUUAUUUUUACAUUAGUUCAUAUAUGCAUUCAAUGCGCUAGUGCGGGAGAAGAUCCCUAUGGCAUAACCUGCCGCAGGUGGGCUAUACAUCAUAAAACUUGGAUCCUCCUUGGGGAUUUCAACAAAUGUUUUAAGCCCAGAGGAGAGAUUAAAGGGUAGCCAGUAACCAUGUAUGAAACCGUGAAUCAAGGAGUGCUGCUAUGACAUGGGAUCUCAGAUAUACGUUCAACAGGUGGUUUCCAUACUUGGACAAACAACAAACCUAGUGGCAAGUUUGAAUUAGGGCAAUGAUUAACAAAUUCGUGGAUAUAGAGGGGCUUUUCAACCCAAGCUAAUUUUUGAACCUUCCAGGAUUUUGUCUGAUCACUCACCUUGAAACCACCGUAUCCAUCUUUGGGACAAUGAAAGGGAGGCAAUCCUUUCAAUUUUUCAUAUGUUGACUAGCAUGAGAAUUUAUUGCAUGAGUGAAAAACUCCUGAGGGGAAUUACAUAGGGGAUCUGCCAUGUUUAGGUUUGAAAAAGCUUAAAGCUCUCAAGGAGACCUUAAAAGUUUGAAAUAGACAACAUUUGCACCAUAUAGGCCAGGGCUUAGGUAGCUGCGGAGGAGCUAGUAGGAAUGCAACAACAGCUUCAUGAUAAACCCAUCAGACUUAACUUCAAGGGAGAGUCUCUGAACUUAGAGCCGAGCCUUCAAGCUAACGAAAAUGAGGUAGCUAUGCCCCAAAAAAACAACUGUCCACAGCCAAUAUUUGAAGAAUUGUGAUAGAGGCACCAAAUUUUUUCAUGGAUUGAUCAGAAGCAGAUGAGUCAAAAGUAGCAUUAUGUCUAUCACUCUAGAGAGUGGGGACAGAUCCACUUCCAGCAUCUAAGUCUCUGAAGCCUUUGUGCGCUUUUACAAGGGUCUCCUAGGAACUAAAGUUGACUGCACAAAUUUGAAUUUUGACUUUGUGUCCGGAGGGAGGAAGCUGGAUCCUGCUUAAGCUGAAAGUCUUACACAGCCGAUCACAGAGGAGGAGAUCAAGUUGGCUUUUUUCACCAUUGGGGAAGACAAAACCCCUGGUCUAGAUGGCUAUACCUUCUAUUUUUUCAAGAAAACUUGGGACAUAGUUGGUCCAGACUUUAUUGCGGCUGUGAUGUAAUUCUUUUCUUCAGGGUAGAUUCUGAGGCAAAUUAAUCACUACAGAUAGAGUUGAGGAUUUUAGGCCCAUUGCAUGCUACAAUGUCAUCUACAAAGUCAUUUCAAAAAUAACUGCCCAGAGGCUUGGCUCGGCUCUGAUUUGUAUUGUUGACUCGACCCAAGCAGCCUUUAUCCGUAACAGGAAAAUGGUUGAGAAUAUAUACCUUUUACAGGAGCUGCUAAGACAAUAUGGUAGGAAAAGAACAUCCCCAAGAUCCAUGUCAAUGUGGACUCUUUAGGAAGGCCUUUGAACUGUGGAUGGGACUUCAAUCAGGAAUGUUUGGCAGCUUUGGAGUUUCCCCUUUUUUUUAUAGGAUGGAUUAUUGCUUGUUUUUUCAUCCACCGUUUAUUCCCUCACCUAUAAUGGAUCUCUCCAGGGCUUUCUUUAAAGGGCAAAGGGGCCCUUAGGCAAGAGAUCCCCUUUCUCCCUACCUUUUUGUUCUUUGGCCUUGAGUACCUUUCUAGAUGUCUUGGGGACUUGAAGAACACCAACUCCAAUUUUCAUCCAAAUGUGGGGGCCUCAAAAUUAAUCAUCUGUAACAUGCGAUGACGCUUAAUUCUCUUGUCUAGAGGGGAUCCCCCUUCAGUUUCUUUGAUAAUGGUAAGCUUAAUCACUUUGGGGAUUGGCUCAGGCCUUAACAUUAGCAUAUCCAAAUCGAGUUCCUAUUUUCUAGCUUGAUCAAUUCAGGGACUGUGGAAGCAAUUAAUGAGACUCACUGGAUUUGCUCAGGGUGGUUUUUCUCCUUCAAAUAUUUGGGAAUUCAGUGGCUGCCUCUAGGCUUACAAUCGCUCAUUUAGUCCCCUCAUGAUAAAGUUUCCGACUGCACCGUGUUUGGGCAGGAACUUCACUUUCUUACGCUGGCCAUAACUGAGCUGAUAAAAUCUGUGCUCCAAGGAGUAGAAGUUAUGGCUCUCCAUCCUCCCCUUCCUGUAGGGGGUUAGGAAAAAUCACACAGCUUUGUAGGAAUUUCUUUGUAGCGGCAAAGCCACAGUUAUAAGAAGCCUUUGUGGCUUGGAAGGAUGUCUUGUCUUCCCAAAACAUGACGGUGGCUUGGGCAUCAUGAACACAAAAGCAUGGACAAAGCCUUAAUAUGGUAAAACCCUUUAUGAUAUUCAGCCAAGAAAGACUCCCUCUGGUCCAAUGGAUUCAUCAAUUAUUGAUCAGUAAACUUCUGGGAUACCGAAACCCGGCAUAGAAGCCUCCCCCGCCUGAAACAAAUAUUGCUCUAGGGAUGAGAUUAUUGAAGAAGAAGGGUCAGUAGAAAUGCUAUCCUUCGUCUAAUCGUGUUGCUCCCGGAGGGUCACCUGCUCGCCCGUUAGCAUAUCAAAUUUUCAGGCCGAAAGUCUAAAAUGCAUGUCAAAGAUGGUUUUGGCAUCACUCUAUUCACUAACAAAUUACCCUAUUGUGACGAAAUGCCGUGACGAAGAUAAAUUUUAUCACCAAAUAUGUCUAUUUCGUGAUAAAAAUUUAUUUGUCCAUCAUUAGGAGGGAUCAAACAAUUAGGUGAUUGAAAUUUUUUUUGUCACCAUAUAUUGCCCAUUAGUGGAAAAUAAAAUUUUCUCACUACAUGGAUUUGGACGAAAGUAUUUUAGGUGGGACUUAGUUUUUUUUCGUCACUAAUAUGUUCCUUCCUUUCACUGUGGCACUUUAAAAAAACUUGAAAUCAAUAGGUGAUGAAUUUUUUUUGUUCACAAAAAUGAAAGUAAUUGCGUGAAAGAAGCUUAUUUCAUCCACUCAAUUUAUAUGAAAUCAAUAGGUGACGAAAAAAAAUUUAUCACCAAAAAGAAACUGAUUCCGUGGAAGAAAGUUUUUUUGUCACCCAAUUUAUAGAUUUGGCAUACCCUAAACUUGAUUUGUCACCAAGAUUAUUGUGAAAAUAAAAAGUGACGAAAAACUAUUCACACAAAAUAAAAUUUUUUGCGGUGAGAAAAGUUAUUUCGUCACCCAAUUUUAUUAAUUUUGAGGAGAAAAUUUAUUUUGUCACCCAAAUUAUAAAAGAAUAAGUGCGCGAAGAAAAAAUUUUCUCACAAAAGAUUAGGGUUUGAGUGAGGAGGAAGGGGAAAGUUGUUCGUCACCCAAUGUAUUAACUUUGUAUGAGAAAUCAUUGUUUCGUCACCAAAUUACUUGGAAAUAAAUAGGUGAACUGAACAAAAUUUCAUACUAGUAUAAAAAUUUUAAUGUCUCGAGAUGUGCAUUGAAUUUCAUUUGAUCAUGCGAAACACCAACAUCCGAUGAUAUAAGAUUUGUAACAAUAAUUAAAUCCGAAGAUUGAUUUGUAAUGACCUUAAAAAUCUAGUCGUAAAUGCAAUGAUAAAAAACUAGGCUGUUAUGUAUCUGAAUAGUAUAAUAGUCAGCCAAAACCACGACACAAUCAUGAAGAUAAAGAUCGUUUAUUUUGUCGUGAUAUUUAAUUAUUAAUUCGUUCUCGUAAAAAAUUUGCUCGAUUGAGUUAGACGCUUCUUGAUUGGGACAAAAUUUGUUAUGUAAAUGAUACUUUUGUUCGCUCAAUGUUCUAUUGAUAUACGAUCAACUAUAUUUUGGUUUACAAUUGUGUACUCAGAGUAAUAUGUACAGAUAGACAGGUUCCGACACUCAAAUAGAACUCAGGGGUGGUGCUCGAGUGAUCAAAUGUAAGUCUUUGAGGCAGUGAAUGCGUUAUUAAAAAGUGAUCUGAUCACGCGAUCGUCGAUGAUUGAUGAUCUUCAAUUGUGGUAAAAAUGAUAGAAUUAGUGACACUUGUGAAAUCAUAAUAGUUCAGAUCGAGCAUUGUAAAAAAUUGGCCCAGACCCUGAAUUGUCUUUUAUUCCAUAGUUCAAACCUACUUGUUCUAUAAAUUAAGUUUUGUGUUAUAAUUAACUAUAUAUAGCACAAGACUGCGACACAAUCAUGACGAUCACAAUCGUUGAUAUUUUUGACGAUAUCAAUGGUAUCAUCUUGUAAAAAAUUAGGCUUUAUCGGGUUUAGAAAGUCUCUUCAUCGGAGCAAAGUUUCAUUAUGAAAAAUGAUAUUUUUCAUCCAAUGAGAUUUUUGCUAUUGGAUAAAAAUUGUGUGUUCCAGAGGGUCAACUUAGGUAUUUCAAAGUGUUUGUGCUUAUUGAUAUUUUUAUCCAAUGUACCCAGAUGGUCAAAUUAGGCAUUUUUAAAUAUUGAGAGGAGAUUAUGUGUCCGUAUAUGGAUUCUUCCCCAAAACAUUCAUUAAAGGCAUUUCUAAUAAAAUGCCCCCCCAAAACCGCAACACCCGCCAUCGACUCUCUCUCUUCAAUCAGAACUAACUGGAACUGGGCGACCCGGCCCUCCCCCCAAAAAAACCCUGUCUCUCUAUCUACACACCAACUCUCAGCAUCUUUCUCUUCUCGCGCAAAUCCUCAAAACAACUUUUUUAUUUUUGCUAAUUCCUGUAUUUGGUCCCAGAAUUAGUAUCCUCCAAUCGAUCGAAUUGUGUUGUCUGAGAUUCGUGUGUAUGAAGAUGGAUAGUUCAAAAAUUCCAAGUCUUCUUCGAUUUCUUCCUGAGUAGUGACGAACCAGACCAGUGGUGUUUCGCAUGGCCAAGAGCGUGUACCAAGUUUUGGAAAGGAAACAAUGUCAGAUUUCUCUGUUUCAAAAUUGGUGAUUUUCUUUGUGUUUUAAAGUAGCAUUUGGGGUGUGCGUUAUUAGAUUUGGCUUAUUUUUUUGUUCUAAUAUGUGUGUGUUUUUGAUCGAAUUAGUAGUUUGUGUGGUUGCAACUUUUGAAUUAAGGGCAUGAUUAGGGUAGUUUUGUGACCAGUGUCAGUAUGAGUUGUCAUAAGAAGACUUCUGAUGUACAUCUCUUAGCUGAUCUUCCUCAUGUUUUAGCGUCCUGAUAUCUUUAGAUUGGCUUAUUUUUCCUAAUUUUUGGGUAGUGGGUUCUUGAUCGACUGGUGGUUUGUUGUGAUUGCAGUUUGAAUUAGGGCAAUGGUUAGAGGCAUUUUGUGUGAUACAGUGUCAAUAUCCGUUUGUCAUAAAAAGACUCGAUGUCAUUCUCUUAGCUGAUCUUCCUCAUGUUUUAGCGUCCUGAUAUCUUUAGAUUGGCUUAUUUUUCCUAAUUUUUGGGUAGUGGGUUCUUGAUCGACUGGUGGUUUGUUGUGAUUGCAGUUUGAAUUAGGGCAAUGGUUAGAGGCAUUUUGUGUGAUACAGUGUCAAUAUCCGUUUGUCAUAAAAAGACUCGAUGUCAUUCUCUUAGCUGAUCUUCCUCGUGUUUUAGGUUCUGAAUAUGCUUUAGAUUUGUGCUUAUUUUUCCUAAUUUGUGUGGGUUCUUGAUCGAAUGAGUGGUUUGUGUGAUUGCAGUUUGAAUUAGGUGCAAUGUUAAGCAAUUUUUGUGAACAUGUCACAUAUCAGUUUGUCAAUAAAAAACUCUGAUGUACAUUCUCUUAGCUGACUCUUCCUCGUUUUUUAAAGGUUCUGAAUAUGCCUUUAGAUUUGCUUAUUUUUCUAAUUUGUAGUGGGUUCUUGAUCGAAUGAGGUGUUUGUGUGAUGCAGUUUGAAUUAGGCAUGGUUAGAGCAAUUUUGGGUGAACACUUUCAAUAUCAUUUGUCAUAAAAAGCCUCUGAUGUGAUCUUUUAAUAGCUGAUUUUUCUUUGAUCUGGGUAUGCUUUUGAAUUUGCUUAGUUUCCCUAAUUUGUAGUGGUUCUUGAUUAGUGACGUUGGGCUUUGAUUAGUGAAAGGUCUGUGGGUGUUUGGUGCUUGCCCGAAUGCUGUGAAGGUUAUAUUUGGACUUCUAACAUCAUUGUGCUCGCUAAAUUAUUAAUUAGCUUUGCAUAAUGAGUGUUGCAGGCAUGGAACAUUCAGACUUAAGCUGUAACUGACUUUUACUACUGGCCCAAUUGGGCAAUUUAAGCCAUGGUCAUGAAAUUGUGUGCUUUUUGCAGACACAGGUAAUGCUAUCAUGAAGGUAUUUUUCUCUAUCUCUUUUUGUGUGUGUGAUAAUAUAAUUUCCUGUGCACAACCAAUUGUUUGAUGGUUUGUUUGAGUGGGACUUGGUUUAUUCAUUUCGGUUUUUAAGUUUGGCAGGAGUGCUGCUUUGCCAUCUUUUCUUUCUUUCUAUUUUUUCCUAUCUUGUAUUUUUUAAUUUCAUUUGUUUAAACUAGAAGGGUUCCCUGUAGUUCGUAAAACGGGGUGGUGGAUUAAGUGACUAGAUAUAUAGUCCCUUGUAGAAAAAUUAUCUUUUUUGUGAUAUAAAAAUUAUUCAACUACAAAAUAUGAACUAGGUCAUAGAAGAACUUGUAACUAGUAUGUAUUUUCUUCUGUACCUUAAUAGCACCAAUUUUUUAAUUGGGUGUACUUUGCCUACCAC